GGCUCCUGGGCCUCCUGCUCGGCCUCCGCGCUGCUAGAUCCCCCGAGAGUUGAUGUGGCCGGCGCUGGACCCGAGCCUCGCCUGGGGGGACGAAGUGGCCCCCGGCCCCCCAUCAAAGCCCGCGUGGGCCCCAUCCCCCGAGGGCAGUCCCAGGCCCAGCGCGGACACUGGGCGCCUGGGGCGGCGCAGAUACAGAGUAGAGGCGGCGACUGUUGCUCCCGAGCUCCGCGCUCCGGAUACAAUGUGUCUGGCGCCUCCGACCCGCCCGCGCCGCGUCUAGACAAUCGCAGAGAAAACCGCUGUGCGCCGAUUUUGCACUACAGAUUAGCGAUUUUCUCCUGUAGCAAAGCUACUAGCAGCCAAUUUCCAUGCAUUUGAGAGGUAAAAAAGAUAAAAUAAAACGUGAAUUGGG
rnacentral:lncRNA from 1 species